AACUUUUAACAAUGGAUAUCUUGGUUCUCGUAACGAUGAAGAACGCAGCAAAAUGCGAUACGUAAUGUGAAUUGCAGAACUCAGUGAAUCAUCGAAUCUUUGAACGCAUAUUGCACUUUUAGGUUUCAUCCUAAGAGUAUAUUUAUUUGAGUGUC
rnacentral:rRNA from 13 species